rnacentral:sRNA from 1 species
UUUAUCGAUAAGUCUGCGUCGGUCACACUAAUACGAAACGCUGAGCAUAAAUUUUUGUGUGUGGUUUAUUUUUUGUUAUUGUGUUUCCAAUUCUCCAUUUGGUAAUUAACCUUUUAGAGCUCUCUCUCUCUCUCUAUGGACCACCAACAGCUGUCUGAUUUUCAAAUGAUUAUUAUGCAGAGAGGGUAAAGGAAAAAACAACAGACAGCAGCCACCGGCACAGUGGAACGUGAAAGCAACGGGAUUACAGUGGAACAGACAGCAAGGAUUACAAACAGCUGCUGCACAGUGGAACACCGGGGAUUACCAUGGAAAAAACCGGCAAUGAAAAUGAAAAUGAAAAUCCUACAAAAACGGAUUGAUUAUUGUUUUUAGACUUUAACAUUUUUUUUUUGUAAUACUGUGUGUUGGAUUCAUCGUGAAUUUUUCAAAUGGAAUACCAAUAAUAAUUGUGAAAUGUUUGCAUUGGAUGAUACCCCGCAAAAUGUGCAACCGCAGCAGAGCCGUCGCGACCACAAAUCUUAAAGAAAAUUCCUUUAAGAUCAAUAACAAUACAAAUUGCGGUAAUCUAACAAAAACUACCAUAACCUAAGAAAACAAAGAAAAACAAAGCAAAACAAAAGGCAAGAAACAG